UCAUUAUUGGGAUCUGAAAUCUUGGGCAUCCUGUGGUCUGACUCCCACUGUAUGUCCAGAUCAGCAGCACUGCUGUCCUCACUUCCAGGCAGCAGCCGCAUGGAGGCCCGUAAGUGUGG
rnacentral:snoRNA from 1 species